rnacentral:rRNA from 1 species
GAUGAACGCUGGCGGCGUGCCUAAUACAUGCAAGUCGAGCGAACGGACGAGAAGCUUGUUUCUCUGAUGUUAGCGGCGGACGGGUGAGUAACACGUGGAUAACCUACCUAUAAGACUGGGAUAACUUCGGGAAACCGGAGCUAAUACCGGAUAAUAUUUUGAACCGCAUGGUUCAAAAGUGAAAGACGGUCUUGCUGUCACUUAUAGAUGGAUCCGCGCUGCAUUAGCUAGUUGGUAAGGUAACGGCUUACCAAGGCAACGAUGCAUAGCCGACCUGAGAGGGUGAUCGGCCACACUGGAACUGAGACACGGUCCAGACUCCUACGGGAGGCAGCAGUAGGGAAUCUUCCGCAAAGGGCGAAAGCCUGACGGAGCAACGCCGCGUGAGUGAUGAAGGUCUUCGGAUCGUAAAACUCUGUUAUUAGGGAAGAACAUAUGUGUAAGUAACUGUGCACAUCUUGACGGUACCUAAUCAGAAAGCCACGGCUAACUACGUG